UCUGAAGCAACCUUCACCGAUGCCGAAGGGGUAUGGGAUGGUGAGAUUGCCACAUGUUUCUCUGCAUCCAGGCUUCGCCAUCCUGGACGCUGUGCUGCUCUUGAUGGUUGGUAGCAGCAGGGUGGCUGCAAAGAUUAGCCACGCAUGUAGACUAGGUCAGAGUGGUUUUGGGGGUAUGAACCAAUCUGUUUGCUCUGCAAUGCGAGACCGCGGCUUAAUUAGCAGUUUUGUUUCGUCUUUGACGGAGACAAAGAGGUGUUGUGACUGGGCCAGGGACAGGCUUUGGUCAAGACCGCGACACAUGCACGGAAGACAGGUUCCCUGACGCAGCCGCUGUGUAUAUAUGUGCGAUUAAUUGGGCCAAGUCGUCAAAGGAAACCUUAUAAAAGCAGAAGGAGAUGAACUGAUGGACAUACAGUUUGUUGCAGGGAAAUUUACCGGGUCUUCUGAAAGUCCCCGUUCAGUGGUAUAUAUUAUCAGGGGAAUGACCGAAGGCAUCUCUGAUUGAGCCUCUUGUCAAUGGUUUCAAAUAGCGGGCUAUAGCGGCGCUAUGCCGACUUGAGCAAGAUUAUGCAAGAUUUAGCUGCUGGAGAGAGCUGCCGCUGAACAUUGUAGCCCGCUAUUUGUAACUGCCUCCCAUCAUCAAGGAGGCUCCGAGGAAAGCUUUAGCCUUGCUUUGCAUGCCUGGAUGUGAACUUCCCACCUGAGCUGAGGACGACGGGCCGGCUUAAAUAAUUGGUGGUCUUUGGAAAAUUUACAUCAUCGACUUAAUUAAUUGGCGGUGUUUGGAAACCCAGGGUGUUUUUUUUUUCUGGGAACACGUCAAUUACUACCAACUGUGACCGCUAUCAAAGUGAUUUUGCAAGUACCAGUGACCUCUAUCAAAAAUA